UACGAAGGGGGCGAGCGUUGUUCGGAUUUACUGGGCGUAAAGGGCGCGCAGGCGGCGAGUUUUGUCAGGCGUGAAAGCCCCGGGUCAACCUGGGAAUUGCGCUUGAAACGGGCUUGCUAGAGAUCGGGAGAGGAGAGUGGAAUUCCCAGUGUAGAGGUGAAAUUCGUAGAUAUUGGGAAGAACACCGGUGGCGAAGGCGGCUCUCGUGGACCGAUACUGACGCUGAGGCGCGAAAGCGUGGGGAGCAAACAGG
rnacentral:rRNA from 1 species